rnacentral:misc_RNA from 1 species
AAUUCGCAGCCCGACUUGAGUGGAGCUCAUUUUUUUCAUUGCGAUUCUAUAAAAGUUCAACGAAAUAAUUCUCGUCGUUCGCAAUGAUAAAAAUAGCGGGAACGGAAGGCGGAAAAGCUG